rnacentral:rRNA from 1 species
GGAAAGGUCUCUUCGGAGAUACUCGAGUGGCGAACGGGUGAGUAACACGUGGGUGAUCUGCCCUGCACUUCGGGAUAAGCCUGGGAAACUGGGUCUAAUACCGGAUAGGACCACGGGAUGCAUGUCUUGUGGUGGAAAGCGCUUUAGCGGUGUGGGAUGAGCCCGCGGCCUAUCAGCUUGUUGGUGGGGUGACGGCCUACCAAGGCGACGACGGGUAGCCGGCCUGAGAGGGUGUCCGGCCACACUGGGACUGAGAUACGGCCCAGACUCCUACGGGAGGCAGCAGUGGGGAAUAUUGCACAAUGGGCGCAAGCCUGAUGCAGCGACGCCGCGUGGGGGAUGACGGCCUUCGGGUUGUAAACCUCUUUCACCAUCGACGAAGGUCCGGGUUCUCUCGGAUUGACGGUAGGUGGAGAAGAAGCACCGGCCAACUACGUGCCAGCAGCCGCGGUAAUACGUAGGGUGCGAGCGUUGUCCGGAAUUACUGGGCGUAAAGAGCUCGUAGGUGGUUUGUCGCGUUGUUCGUGAAAUCUCACGGCUUAACUGUGAGCGUGCGGGCGAUACGGGCAGACUAGAGUACUGCAGGGGAGACUGGAAUUCCUGGUGUAGCGGUGGAAUGCGCAGAUAUCAGGAGGAACACCGGUGGCGAAGGCGGGUCUCUGGGCAGUAACUGACGCUGAGGAGCGAAAGCGUGGGGAGCGAACAGGAUUAGAUACCCUGGUAGUCCACGCCGUAAACGGUGGGUACUAGGUGUGGGUUUCCUUCCUUGGGAUCCGUGCCGUAGCUAACGCAUUAAGUACCCCGCCUGGGGAGUACGGCCGCAAGGCUAAAACUCAAAGGAAUUGACGGGGGCCCGCACAAGCGGCGGAGCAUGUGGAUUAA